GCACCUCUGCUUGGAAGGAAAAUACCUGGUCUUCAGGUCCAGAAGCAACUACAUCUCUUGUUCCUUUUCAUGCCCCGUGAGGUCUCCACUGCUGCUUGGAAGAUGGAGCACUUUUUAUUUUUAGUAACAAUAUCUCUCAUGCUGGGAUGGAAGCAUCUUAAACCAAUUAAACAUAUUAGAAGAUAACUGUGUGUGGGUUUGGUUCAAGAUCUUCAUUUUCUUCACUCUGUGGCUGCUUGCGUUUACACUGGUGACUCCUUGGAGCCACCCCGAUGAGCUGUGGAGCAGGAGGCUGCUGCGGGGCCUCGGGCUUACUG